GUUCAGUGAUGUAUUGCCAACACAUCACUCGAAAGAGAACUAUGGUGACUUCCCAUGACUGAGCAUA
ensembl:snoRNA SNORD63 Small nucleolar RNA SNORD63